rnacentral:lncRNA from 1 species
AAUUCUAUGCAGCCAACCAUAAGAGCUCUGCGGCCGUUCACCUGACUGCAGCAGAAUCGAGGCUUGAUGGUUACGGUGGGUGACAGAAGAGGGGCCGUUGGAAGUGCUAUUAUGCAGUUUGCACGGGAAGAUUUCAGCACAUUUCAGCUUUAUCUAGUUAUGCUAGUUUAGAAUUUGGUCAGUUAUUUGAAACAAAAGAUAAAAAUAAAAAACACUGUAUUAUAGUGAAAAUGUUUAUCAGAUGAAGAGCUCAGCUUUAACAACACGCCUUGCCAAAAAGCUUUGCAAAUCGUUCCUCACUUGGGAGCAUGUGAGAAAGGGCUGUAAUAAGAAUAGCUGAGAUUUGCUGGAGCCAAAGCUUACAGAAAGAAGAAUCUGCAGGUUUAAAAAGGAGAAACACAGAACUUGUUAGUCACAUAUAUUACCUAUGUGACAUCUCAAGAUGGAUUUGAAAUCUCUUACCAUUUGGUGUUAGAAGAAGGGGAAAGUGUUGUCCAAGGUAAUAAUUACCUUUUAAAUGCUGAAGCUGAGACCAAGACUUGUAAGAGGGAAUUCUUCCUGAAGAGUCUGCAUAUCUAUGCAACCCUGGUGGCGCAGCGGUUUAGCGCCGCCUGCAGCCCGGGGUGUGAUCCUGGAGACCCGGAAUCGAGUCCCACGUCGGGCUCCCUGCAUGGAGCCUGCUUCUCCUUCUGCCUUUCUCUCUCUGUGUGUCUCUAAGAAUAAAAUUUAAAAAAAAAAAAAAAGAGUCUGCAUACCUGAGAGGGCCAUGAAGUCCAAACUCUGGCCUUCUUCAUGCAUCUUUUAUACAAAAAAGUCUUCGUAGAUCCUACAUUCUGCUGACUAGGUAAUAUUGAAAGAAUCAGAAAACACAAGAACUUGGAAGUCAUCUGACUCUCAGAAAUGAACUGCAUAUCUUAGGCCCACUAAGCAGAAUUCUGGGGGAGAAAUCAGUAUUUCAUGUAAAUGUAGCUUCACCUCUCAAGAAGUAAUAAAAUUGGAAUAGGUGGACCACACCUCCAAUGUAUUUGAUGAUAAUAGAAUCAGCGAUACAGCCCAGUAUCAUCUCAAACUAAAAUUGGGAGCCUUUCACAAAAAGAAUUAUUUAAACCACUGUAAACAACUAGGAAUCAGAGUAAGGAUAGAAAUCACAUUUUGCUCUCCUUUCACAAAGCAGCUGAAGAAUAUUAUGUUGCUAUUUCAAUAAGAAUAACACUAUACUGAUAACAGACUCUAUUCAAAAUUUAAUAAAGCAUUAGUCCCUUAAUCAAAACAUGACUAUGAGGCUUGGACUGUCGCUGGAAAGCAGAAUAAUGUGAACAAAAGAGAAAUGGAACUGUGUCUGAAUAUCAACUCUACAAACAAAUAACAUCUCAUUACACAUGCAGCAAUUAAAGGCAGGAACUUCAAAGCCAUUCUCAAUUUAUCUUUGUCAAGCCCCUGACCAGGGAAAAGUUUGACUCACGAAAUCAAAGCAGGUAUGUGGUAAAUAUCAAUCUAUCAAUCAAUCAAAUGUCAUUAACACGUAUACAACUAUAUAUGAAUUUUUUGCUUAUGCUGAAUACAUUAUCUACAUAAAAUUUUGCCUAAAGCACAUGGAUUAUAAAUAUCUAUAAGAGAGCCACCUGGGAUCCCUGGGUGGCUCAGGGGUUUAGUGCCUGCCUGCCUUUGGUCCAGGGCAUGAUCCUGGAGACCCGGGUUUGAGUCCCACAUCAGGCUCCCUGCAUGGAGCCUGCUUCUCCCUCUGCCUGUGUCUCAGCUUCUCAUGAAUAAGUAAAUAAAAUAUUUAAAAAAAAAAAAAAAGAGAGCCACCUAAAUGCAUAAUUAUAAAUAAACUACAAAUAAAAUAGAUAUAAAAGAAAUUACAAACAAAAUAAAUUUUGAUUUAAAAUUGCUUAUGUAAUUAGGAGUAAGCAAAAGUUUUCACUCUAAUUCAGCAUAUAUAGUGGUUAAAGGAACCUUUUCUGGAAUUAGACAGGCUAGGUCUAAUUCCUGACUCUCCUACUGGAGUUAGGACAGGAUAGUAAAACAGUUUUCUCAUGAGUAAAAUUAAGAUAAUAAUAAUGCCUGUUUCAGAUAGUUGUAAAAAUUUAAUGAGCUAAUGCUUAAAAGUCAUACAUUCAUUAUCACUUUUCAGAAAAUAGAAUUAAUUGAAAAGGUUUAGAAAUAGUAUCUGCCUCAGAAAGCUUGAAUUCCAUAGAUGAAUAUAUCACGAUAGUACCCUCAAAACUGAAUUUGAUAAUUUUACCUCAUUUUAAUCCCUAAAUAAUGAUUUUUAAAAAGCAUUUACAACCUGGGUCCUCAAAUCAGUCUGUAUUUAUACACGUUCAAUCAGGUUUUAAUAAUGCCAUAAUAGCAUCCAAUUCCAUCCUACAAGCUAAUUUUCAGGUUUAGGCUGACAGCUCAUAUUAACACUUAUUGCUCAUGUGGACAAUGAAUUACACUG